UACGAAGGGGGCGAGCGUUGUUCGGAUUUACUGGGCGUAAAGGGCGCGCAGGCGGUCUUGAAAGUCAGGCGUGAAAGCCCCGGGCUUAACCUGGGAAUUGCGCUUGAUACUCUGAGACUGGAGUACGGGAGAGGAGAGUGGAAUUCCCAGUGUAGAGGUGAAAUUCGUAGAUAUUGGGAAGAACACCAGUGGCGAAGGCGGCUCACUGGCUCAUUUCUGACGCUCAGGCGCGACAGCGUGGGGAUCAAACAGG
rnacentral:rRNA from 1 species